ACACCUCAACUCUCAUGGUUUGCCAUGAUGAGCUUGGACCCUGGGGGUUUGCUGGCCUGUAGUCAGCUCCUCUCAAAUGAAUCAGCCUCCAAGUGUUUGGUGGCAUCACGGGUGUGAUAACUAUCUACCCUUGAGACUGCCUACCAGGUAACCUUCAGUGAUGGAGGUUCGCUGGGGCUCAUAGACGUCUCUCCUCAGCGAGGACAGCUUUUUAAC
rnacentral:misc_RNA from 1 species